UCAACGGAGAGUUUGAUCCUGGCUCAGGAUGAACGCUGGCGGCGUGCUUAACACAUGCAAGUCGAACGAUGAUCCGGUGCUUGCAUCGGGGAUUAGUGGCGAACGGGUGAGUAACACGUGAGUAACCUGCCCUUGACUCUGGGAUAAGCCUGGGAAACUGGGUCUAAUACCGGAUA
rnacentral:rRNA from 1 species